CGCGCAGGCGGUCGUAUAAGUCGAAUGUGAAAGCCCCCGGCUCAACUGGGGAGGGUCAUUCGAUACUGUUCGACUCGAAGGCAGGAGAGGGAAGUGGAAUUCCGGGUGUAGUGGUGAAAUGCGUAGAUAUCCGGAGGAACACCAGUGGCGAAGGCGACUUUCUGGCCUGUUCUUGACGCUGAGGCGCGAAAGCUAGGGGAAGGCAAACG
rnacentral:rRNA from 1 species